GACGAACGCUGGCGGCGUGCUUAACACAUGCAAGUCGAACGGGAUAAUUUGAGAGCUUGCUCUUAGAGAAUCUAGUGGCAAACGGGUGAGUAACACGUAGACAACCUGCCGACAGGAUGGGGACAACAUUCCGAAAGGAAUGCUAAUACCGAAUGAAGCGGAGGAGAGGCAUCUCUCCUCCGUGAAAGAUGGCCUCUGAAUAUGCUAUCACCUGUCGAUGGGUCUGCGUCUGAUUAGCUAGUUGGUGAGGUAACGGCUCACCAAGGCGACGAUCAGUAGCCGGUCUGAGAGGAUGAACGGCCACAUUGGGACUGAGACACGGCCCAGACUCCUACGGGAGGCAGCAGUGGGGAAUCUUCCGCAAUGGGCGCAAGCCUGACGGAGCAACGCCGCGGGAGUGAAGAAGGGCUUCGGAUCGUAAAGCUCUGUUGACGGGGACGAACGUGCGAAGGGUGAAUAAUCCUUUGUAAUGACGGUACCUGUCGAGGAAGCCACGGCUAACUACGUG
rnacentral:rRNA from 1 species